rnacentral:rRNA from 1 species
GACGAACGCUGGCGGCGUGCUUAACACAUGCAAGUCGAACGGAAAGGCCCUGCUUUUGUGGGGUGCUCGAGUGGCGAACGGGUGAGUAACACGUGAGUAACCUGCCCUUGACUUUGGGAUAACUUCAGGAAACUGGGGCUAAUACCGGAUAGGAGCUCCUGCUGCAUGGUGGGGGUUGGAAAGUUUCGGCGGUUGGGGAUGGACUCGCGGCCUAUCAGCUUGUUGGUGGGGUAGUGGCUUACCAAGGCUUUGACGGGUAGCCGGCCUGAGAGGGUGACCGGCCACAUUGGGACUGAGAUACGGCCCAGACUCCUACGGGAGGCAGCAGUGGGGAAUAUUGCACAAUGGGCGGAAGCCUGAUGCAGCAACGCCGCGUGCGGGAUGACGGCCUUCGGGUUGUAAACCGCUUUCGCCUGUGACGAAGCGUGAGUGACGGUAAUGGGUAAAGAAGCACCGGCUAACUACGUGCCAGCAGCCGCGGUGAUACGUAGGGUGCGAGCGUUGUCCGGAUUUAUUGGGCGUAAAGGGCUCGUAGGUGGUUGAUCGCGUCGGAAGUGUAAUCUUGGGGCUUAACCCUGAGCGUGCUUUCGAUACGGGUUGACUUGAGGAAGGUAGGGGAGAAUGGAAUUCCUGGUGGAGCGGUGGAAUGCGCAGAUAUCAGGAGGAACACCAGUGGCGAAGGCGGUUCUCUGGGCCUUUCCUGACGCUGAGGAGCGAAAGCGUGGGGAGCGAACAGGCUUAGAUACCCUGGUAGUCCACGCUGUAAACGGUGGGUACUAGGUGUGGGGUCCAUUCCACGGGUUCCGUGCCGUAGCUAACGCUUUAAGUACCCCGCCUGGGGAGUACGGCCGCAAGGCUAAAACUCAAAGGAAUUGACGGGGCCCCGCACAAGCGGCGGAGCAUGCGGAUUAAUUCGAUGCAACGCGUAGAACCUUACCUGGGUUUGACAUGGAUCGGGAGUGCUCAGAGAUGGGUGUGCCUCUUUUGGGGUCGGUUCACAGGUGGUGCAUGGCUGUCGUCAGCUCGUGUCGUGAGAUGUUGGGUUAAGUCCCGCAACGAGCGCAACCCUUGUUCACUGUUGCCAGCACGUUAUGGUGGGGACUCAGUGGAGACCGCCGGGGUCAACUCGGAGGAAGGUGGGGAUGACGUCAAGUCAUCAUGCCCCUUAUGUCCAGGGCUUCACGCAUGCUACAAUGGCUGGUACAGAGAGUGGCGAGCCUGUGAGGGUGAGCGAAUCUCGGAAAGCCGGUCUCAGUUCGGAUUGGGGUCUGCAACUCGACCUCAUGAAGUCGGAGUCGCUAGUAAUCGCAGAUCAGCAACGCUGCGGUGAAUAAAUUCCCGGGGCU